CUUGCUCCUCUGACGUUAGCGGCGGACGGGUGAGUAACACGUGGAUAACCUACCUAUAAGACUGGGAUAACUUCGGGAAACCGGAGCUAAUACCGGAUAAUAUAUUGAACCGCAUGGUUCAAUAGUGAAAGACGGUUUUGCUGUCACUUAUAGAUGGAUCCGCGCCGCAUUAGCUAGUUGGUAAGGUAACGGCUUACCAAGGCAACGAUGCGUAGCCGACCUGAGAGGGUGAUCGGCCACACUGGAACUGAGACACGGUCCAGACUCCUACGGGAGGCAGCAGUAGGGAAUCUUCCGCAAUGGGCGAAAGCCUGACGGAGCAACGCCGCGUGAGUGAUGAAGGUCUUCGGAUCGUAAAACUCUGUUAUUAGGGAAAGAACAAAUGUGUAAGUAACUAUGCACGUCUUGACGGUACCUAAUCAGAAAGCCACGGCUAACUACGUGCCAGCAGCCGCGGUAAUACGUAGGUGGCAAGCGUUAUCCGGAAUUAUUGGGCGUAAAGCGCGCGUAGGCGGUUUUUUAAGUCUGAUGUGAAAGCCCACGGCUCAACCGUGGAGGGUCAUUGGAAACUGGAAAACUUGAGUGCAGAAGAGGAAAGUGGAAUUCCAUGUGUAGCGGUGAAAUGCGCAGAGAUAUGGAGGAACACCAGUGGCGAAGGCGACUUUCUGGUCUGUAACUGACGCUGAUGUGCGAAAGCGUGGGGAUCAAACAGGAUUAGAUACCCUGGUAGUCCACGCCGUAAACGAUGAGUGCUAAAUGUUAGGGGGUUUCCGCCCCUUAGUGCUGCAGCUAACGCAUUAAGCACUCCGCCUGGGGAGUACGACCGCAAGGUUG
rnacentral:rRNA from 1 species